rnacentral:misc_RNA from 1 species
GAUGAAGAACGUAGCGAAAUGCGAUAAGUAGUGUGAAUUGCAGAAUUCAGUGAAUCAUCGAAUCUUUGAACGCACAUUGCGCCCUUUGGUAUUCCUUAGGGCAUGCCUGUUCGAGCGUCAUUUAAACCUUCAAGCCCUGCUUGGUGUUGGGUGCCUGUCCCGCCCCCGCGCGUGGACUCACCUCAAAUCCAUUGGCGGCCCCCGCAAGGCCACGAGCGCAGCAGAAACGCAAACUCGUGUGCCCGGCGGGCGGCUCCCAGAAGCUACACCCACCAUUUUGACCUCGGAUCAGGUAAGGAUACCCGCUGAACUUAAGCAUAUCAAUAAGCGGAGGA